AUGCUCGCAUCAACAGCACAUAUACUAAAGUUGGAAAUGAUACAGAGAUUAGCAUGGCCCUUGCUCAAGGAUGACACACAAAUUUGUGAAGCGUUGCAUAAUUUU